AUGAUUCAUUUAUUCUUAUAUUUCGUAAACAUCAAUAAUAUUCAUAUUACAUUGGUACCUUCGGUUUGCCAAAAGGUGAGAGAAUGAGGAUGGCGUGAGAGUGAUUACAAUCCAGCGUGAACAGUACGGUGUUAUUGUUCAUCUAUUUAUAGGCACGGGACACAGCCCAGAUAAAAGUACAUUUAUGUCCUUGGUAACUAUCUAUGAUUUUAACAAGAAUUAUUAUGACUGUAUGGUCUUUAUCCUUCUUCAGUCGUUAUCAUACUUGAGCUUCGUCAACAUGUCCAGCUAAAGUCUUUUGGAUUCUAGCUUCGUCGCCCACCCUUUAUUUCCAUUCGUUCUGUCAUGAGAGAAGUUCUCCAUUCCAAAGCCGAAGCUUCCUAUAACUAUUCAUAAUUAUACUGAAAACAUAUGGCUAGUCACAUUUUUUGAGGACCUUCGGAAGAGGAAUGCCCCCAACAGGUCCCAUCAAAUGAACCUGAGCAUGUCACCGUGAUUAACAGAAACAUUAUUAGUUAAAGAAGAGUGAUCAAAGGCACAACUUGCCUUAGACUUGAGAUUUCAGGUACCAAGUUGGUCUUCAAAUUCUCGUGAUCUCAUCGCUACUCGUAGCAAUACAUACAAAUAGGCAAGGAGUACAUAAACAUAACAGUACACCAAACAGGAGAAAACAACUGUGUAAGAAUAUUCUACGCAUUGCUACGGGAUCACAGGUUCGAGAACCACUAAAUUCGAAGUUAUGAUUGAAAAGGUAUGGUUUUCUGAAGUUUUAGAUAGUUAAAUAGUAAAAUAAAAAUAUAAUCUAUGUUAAUUAAUAAUAGGUGAAAUAAUUAUUGUAACGAAAUAACUAAUCCAAGUUAUAACUUAACUAGACAUCAUAUUUUAAUCAAAUUAUAAUUAUAGGAUCAAGAUAUUUCAUUAACUAAAACAACUAAUUCAAUAAACAUAGGUUAAACAAAUUAGUUAUAUAUGUUACAUGAUAAAAUAGUGUUACUAAGGCAUAGACAAUUUCGUUAUAAAGCUAACGCGACUUAAACAGACUAAAUCAUAAUUAAAUGAAGAAGUUAUGGGGUUUCUAAGAUUAUCAUAUUUUUAUACUAAAACCCCAUUUUCAGAUUUAAUUUACUAAAUUCUAGAAAGUCCAAGACUACACACACCAUUUUUUAAGGUAGUGUUUGGUUGAGGAGCCAAGUAGAACGGAGCCGUUCCAUCCUGUUGGGGCGAAGGCAGAGACGCCACCCUUCGCUCGUCGCCUUUCGCUGCAGUCGCUGGUUUGACGAAGACAAAACGGGCAGGGACACCCUUCGCUUUAUUCAGCACCAGACGAAGGCCUGCGGUGACGUCUCCCCGCGGCACGGCCUCGUCCUGCUCUGAGGCCCACGUGUGAUCUGGCCCAUUGUAACGGGCCCCGCGUGACCGCCGCUGUGUUACGGGCCUAGUUUGUAAAGGCAUUCUUGUAAGUACAGCUUGUAACCCUGCUUUAUGGGAAUAUUCUGGGGAUAAACUAGGUGUCCGAGGGCACAUGCGUCCUUAACACGAGGCGCUGGGCACUCAGAUACCUAUAAAUACCCCCACACAGUGCCCGUGAGAGGCUAGACAUUAACAGAGCUAUAGCCCCCGUGCACGUAACCCUGUUGUCACCACCGUUCUCCCUUGUUGGCUUCCUUGCUGCUGAGAGCAAGUACCAACAUUUGGCGCCCACCGUUCGUGCUACGACCAAACCACCCGCGAUGGCACCCAAGAGAGCUAACCCGAAGGCUGAUGAGGCUGCGAAGGCAGCACUGCUUGCCGCAAGGAAGGGCAAGGCCCUCGCCCUCACCCAAUCCACCCACCAAGAGCCCACCGAAGGCAAUAUUCCCCGCACCUGCGAGGACGACACCUUCCGCACCUGCGAGCCCGAAGGACAAUCGCAGCCGCCCCCAGGCUUCGCCCCACUAGAGGGCGCGGAUCUCACCGAGGACGGCGAGGUCCUCGGCGUCUCAACAGAAGAACAGUUACAGCUGCGCGCCCUGCGCCUCAAAAACCGCAAUCUCCAGAGGCAGAAAGAGAUACUGGAGGCCAAGCGCCAGCGUGUGUCCGCACUAGCCAAGGUGCGGCAGAUGAUACGCGACGAGGAGCAGAAGGCCCAAGACCUCGAGUGCGAGAUCGCGCUGAUGCAGCGCGAAGGCCACCUCGGCCUACAGCAAGAGCCACCCCUCCAGCAGCGCGCGCAACCGGAAGACACGCGCGAAGGCCACCUCGGCCUGCAGCAUGGCCCACCCCUGCAACACCGGGCGCAGCCGGAGAACCCGCGCUACCCACAGCAUGACUACGCCUUCCAGCACGGCGCGCCCUUCCAAGGGGUCAACUACCUCGACGAGCGAAGUCCCCUGGCGCCACACCUGCAAGUGACGCCUUGGCCAGCUAACUUCCGGGCAGGGGCAUAUCCCAAGUACAACGGCAGCACCGACCCGGCGCAAUACAUAAUGAGUUACCAAGUCGCCGUUGCAUCCGCCGGAGGGGACGACGCCACAAUGGCGAAGUCUUUCAUCAUCGCCCUGGAGGGCCCAGCACUCACCUGGUUCACCAGAUUGCCUCCGCUGUCCAUUGAUUCGUGGAGAAGUCUCAGGGACAAGUUCCUUCUCAACUUCCAAGGGUACCGUCCGGACACCGACGCUUUGGCCGAGCUCUCGCUUUGCAAACAGCUGGAAAAGGAGACUCUGCGGGAGUAUUACCGUAAAUUCUUAACACUCAAGUCACAGCUGCCCUCCGUCGAUGAUCAUAUCGCUAUCCACUACGCCAUCAAUGGCCUUCGGGCCGGCGUCCUCUACAGCCACUGUAUCAGAGAUCCACCCAAGAACCUCCAGGAGCUAUAUCAGCUCUUUGAAAAAUAUGCUAAAUCCGAAGAACUCCACCAGCGCAAGGUUGAGUCACAGCGGAAGCCCAAAGAUGCCCCGCAGUCCAGCCGCACGUGGACGAGGACUCCGCAACCAGACUCCGGUCGAGAUGGCCGCAGUCAACAGCAAGUGCACAACAUCGCCAACCAGCAGCCUGCUGCUGACCCCCCUCGUCGCCAGGAAUAUCCCCCCCAGGGCCGCGGAAACGGAACUCGCGGCAGGGGCCGAGGGCGCGCGCAGCCGCCGCGCCGGUUCUACUGCCUUUUUCACGGCGAAGACUGCGCCCACCAAACCAAAGACUGCCCCGAAACGAAGGCCACCAGAGACAGAAUGGCGCGGGCGCAGCCAGCCGACAACCCCAGAAUUGUCGCGCAUAAUUACCAGCCACCCCCUCCACCAUAUAUCCACGCUCCCGCCCCGCAUCCGCCGCACCACGCUUACCAACACCAUCAGGAGGUACAAAUCGUACCUCCUCCACCCCCAGUCCCCCACCACCACACCAGCACCACCAAAACAUCCCCCAUGCCCCAAAGCAGGAAGACUUCGCCGAUCAACCAUAUCGCGGAGUCAUUCACAUGAUAACAGGGGGGUCCAGCACUGACUUCGACACCAAGCGGCAGAAGCGGGACCACUACCGCAGCAUCAACCAUGUCGCGGUCACCGGCCCAGUCGUGCAGACGAAGUGGUCCCACAUACCGCUAACCUUCGAUGCACGAGACGUCGACCUGCGCAGUGCCCCCCACAUCGACGCUAUGGUCAUCAAUUGCAGCGUGGCAGGCUGGGACCUACACAAAGUCCUGGUCGACAACGGCAGUCAGGCGGACAUCAUCUUCCUCCACGCCUUCGACCGCAUGGGUAUAAGCCACAGCCUGCUCAAGCCUUUGGACAAUCCGUUGUAUGGCUUCGGCGGCAAAGGCACCUUUCCCGUUGGCAAAAUAGAGCUUCCCCUCUCCUUCGGUGUAGCACCCAAUGCCCGAAGUGAGCAAGUAACCUUCGACAUUGUUGACAUGGUAUAUCCGUACAACGCCAUCAUGGGCCGGGGCUCCAUCAAUAAGUUUGAAGCUGCCAUCCACGGACUGUACCUAUGCAUGAAGAUACCAGGUCCGCUAGGCGCUAUCACGAUCUACGGCAACCAGCAGACGGCGCGCAACAUAGAGCGGGACUUCGUGCCCGGUCAGAGGAAUGUACACUGUCUCACGACCCAGCGCGAGGUCCCUGCGCCCGCCAGCCCAACCGAUAAGCAGCACGAGAAGGCACAGUUGCAGAGCCAAGACGGAACCAAGACUGUUCCCCUUGAUCAGGCCACGCCCAAGCAGACCCUCACUAUCAGCGAAGACCUCACAUCACAUGAAGAAGAGAGGCUUCUCUGCUGCCUGGCCAAGAAUAAAGAUGUCUUCGCCUGGUCCGCCCUAGACCUGGUCGGAGUCAGCCGAUCCAUAAUCGAGCACAGCUUGGGAAUCGACCCUUCGGUGCGACCAAAAAAGCAAAAGCUCCGCAAAAUGUCCGACGAAAAGACGGAGGCCGCCAAGGCGGAAGUGCACCGCCUCCUAGAGGCUAAAUUCAUCGAGCCAGUGGCUUACCCCACGUGGCUCUCCAAUGUCGUAAUGGUGCAGAAAAAAAGCGGGAAAUGGCGAAUGUGCAUAGACUUCACCAGCCUCAACAAGGCCUGCCCGAAGGACAAUUUCCCGUUGCCGCGGAUCGACAAAAUAGUCGAUAGCGCGGCCGGAUGCGAGGUCAUGUCACUCCUCGACUGCUUCUCCGGCUAUCACCAGAUAUACAUGAAAGAGGAAGACAAGGCUAGCACCAGCUUUAUAACACCCUUCGGCACUUAUUGCUUCAUCAGGAUGCCGGAGGGACUCAAGAAUGCGGGGUCCACCUUCUCCAGACUCACCAAAACAGUACUCGAAGGGCAGGUCGGUAGAAACAUAUUUACAUAUGUGGACGACAUCGUCGUCGCCAGCAAGAAUAAGGAGGACCACCUCGCCGACCUCGCCGAGACAUUCGCGAACAUGCGAGACGCACGACUCCGCCUGAACCCGGAAAAGUGCGUCUUCGGUGUUCGCCAGGGCAAGAUAUUGGGUUACCUGGUGUCACACCGCGGCAUCGAGGCCAACCCAACCAAGAUCCAGGCCAUCGUCGACAUGUCGCCUCCGCAGUCCGUCAGGGACGUCCAGCGUCUGACAGGCAGAUUAGCCGCUCUCAACAGAUUCAUCUCCAGGUCCGCCGAGCGAAGUCUCCCCUUCCUCAAAACACUUCGCGGUGCGAAAGACUUCGCUUGGGGGCCGGAGCAAGCAGCGGCCUUCGCCUCACUAAAACAGUACUUAUCGGAGCUGGCCAUCCUCACAAGCCCUGACCCCUCGCUCCCCCUAUUGCUCUAUGUCGCGGCUUCGCCGCACGCGGUCAGCGCGGCACUAGUGCAGGAGCAGACUGUUGAAGGCACAGUCAGACAGUGCCCUAUUUACUAUGUCUCCGAAGUCCUGACACCGUCCAAAUGCAACAUGACAGAGCUGGAGAAGAUCGCCUACGCAGUUGUUAUGUCCUCGCGCAAACUGCGCCAUUAUUUUGAAGCAUUCAAGGUCCGAGUCACCUCGGACAGGGGGCUCGGCGAACUAUUCAGAAACCCGGAGGCAUCGGUCAGGAUUGCUAAGUGGGCAGCCGAACUCUCCGGCUACCACAUCAGCUUCGAGCCCAGGACAGCCAUCAAGUCGCAAGUCCUAGCAGACUUCGUCGUCGACUGGACUGGGCCAAUAACACAGCCGGCCCCGUCCACAGAGAAGAUUUGGACCAUCCAUUGCGACGGCGCAUGGUGCCAUGCGGGGGCAGGCGUCGCUGCAAUUGUCACCUCACCAACCGGAGUCAAACACAGAUAUGCAGCACGCCUCAGCUUCGCUCUGGAGUCCGACAGAUGCACAAACAACAUCGCAGAGUAUGAAGCGGUUAUCCUCGGCCUCCGCAAGCUAAGGGCCCUCGGAGUCACCACAUGUAUCAUCAAGACAGACUCCAAGAUAGUUGCCGGCCAGAUCGAGAAAGAUUAUGCAGCAAAGGACCCCGCGCUCAUGCAAUACCUCGCGGCUAUCCGAAGUCUCGAGAGACAGUUCAAGGGAUUCACCCUGCAGCAUGUGGAUAGGGCCAAGAACGAGGAGGCCGACGCAUUGGCCAAGGCCGCCGCCAGGGGCGAGCCCUUGCCCUCCGACGUGUUCUUUCACACCAUCGGCACGCCCGCCGUCCGGAGCCCCGAAGGGCUCCAAAUAACUAAUGAUAGCGAGGGCCACCAUAUAGUCAACCUAAUCAUGACCGAAGACUGGCGGGCACCAAUAACCCUGUUCCUACAGGGGUACUAUCAUCCAACUGACGUCAGUGAGGCAAAGCGCCUCAGACAUCGAAGCAGGGACUUCGCACUGAUUGAGGGCCAAUUAUACAAGAAAGGGGUCAGUCAGCCAAUGCUGAAAUGCGUCACCGAAACCGAAGGCAUGCAGAUCCUACGCGAAGUCCACAGUGGCACGUGCGGCUCGCACGCAGGGCCAAGGGCCCUGGCUGCCAAGGUGAUCCGAUAAGGGUUUUACUGGCCCGCAAUGAUCUGCGCAGCAAAUCGGGUCACGAGGUCCUGCGAAGCCUGCCAGAAGUUCUCUCCUCGGUCAGGCAACCCCUCGCAAUAUACAAAGCUGAUUGCCCAUACAUGGCCUCUCCAGCGCUGGGGCCUGGACAUCGUCGGGCCCCUGCCCACCGCUCAGGGGAACCUUAAGUUCGCCUUCGUAGCCGUCGAAUACUUCACCAAAUGGAUUGAAGCGAGGGCUGUUUCCACAAUCACAUCAAAGACUGCCCAAAAAUUCUUCUGGCAGAACAUCGUUUGCCGCUUCGGAGUACCGUCCGAGCUAACAGUUGACAACGGCAAGCAGUUCGACAGCCAAGAUUUCAAGGAUUUUUGUUUCUCCAUCGGCACCAAGCUUGCCUUCGCUUCAGUCUAUCAUCCGCAGUCCAACGGGGUCGUGGAGCGCGCCAAUGGGAAAAUAUUCACAGCUGUCAAAAAGAUGCUCCUCGAUGAAAGAAAAGGCAGAUGGACCGAUUUAUUACCGGAGGCAGUCUGGGCGCUAAACACAACUGAGUGCAGGGCGACCGGGUUCACUCCUUUCCGCCUUCUAUACGGAUCGGAGGCAAUGACCCCGCAAGAAAUAAAGCAUAGGUCCCCGCGUACAGUUCCGUCAGCCGUCCCCGACGUGGAUGAGCCAACUUCAAAAGAUCUCAUUGACGGAGACCGGGUCUUCGCCCUACAGGCCCUAAACAAAUAUCAAGCCCAAACCAAAGCAUGGCGCGACCGCGCAGUCAUCCCGAGGGAGUUCAGCGAGGGGGACCUCGUACUCAUCCGGACAGCUCGGACGGAGUCCAAGGGCAAGCUGGAGCCCAAGUGGGAGGGCCCCUUCAUAGUCAAGUCAAAAGCUUCCCCCAGCGCUUACAGGCUCACAACGCCAAACGGCGAGGACCUGGAGCACUCCUGGAACAUCGACAACCUUCGCAAAUUUUUUGUUUGAUCCAUUUAGGGCCGAUUUCGCCCUUGUAAUUCUCCGCAAACGAUCUUGUACCGGCCCGCACUCUUUUCCUCCCGGGGGGUGAGGUUUUUAACGAGGCGGAGCCAUGUAAUAUAUGUGAGAAAAAUCCCCCGCAAAAACAUGUGUCGAAAAAAGACCGCGACACCGGUCUUCGGCAUUCGACCAAUUCGAAGUCACCGCGAGGCUAAGCGCUAGCCACCCUCGCGUGCGACAAGUCCGCGCAGAAGUCGCCUAAGGGUGCAGCCGGACUCAGCACAACAAGUGCGAAAAAUUCCGACGUCUAUCACGAAGACUAUCCGCGCAGAAGUCGCCUAAGGGUGCAGCCGGACUCAGCACAACAAGUGCGAAAAAUUCCGACGUCUAUCACGAAGACUAUCCACGCAGAAGUCGCCUAAGGGUGCAGCCGGACUCAGCACAACAAGUGCGAAAAAUUCCGACGUCUAUCGCGAAGACUAUCCGCGCAGAAGUCGCCUAAGGGUGCAGCCGGACUUAGCACAACAAGUGCGAAAAAAUUCCGAUGUCUAUCGCGAAGACUAUCCGCGCAGAAGUCGCCUAAAGGUGCAGCCGGACUUAGCACAACAAGUGCGAAAAAAUUCCGAUGUCUAUCGCGAAGACUAUCCGUGCAGAAGUCGCCUAAGGGUGCAGCCGGACUUAGCACAACAAGUGCGAAAAAAUUCCGAUGUCUAUCGCGAAAACCAUCCGCGCAGAAGUCGCCUAAAGGUGCAGCCGGACUUAGCACAACGAGUGCGAGAAAUUCUGAUGUCUCCCACAAAGACUCCGCGCAGAAGCCGCCUCAGGGCGCGGUCAAACUAGUACAACAAAAGCAGAAGCGACAGUAUCAAACCAUCCGCGCUAAGACCGACUAUAAUCACACCAGCACAGCAUAGCCAACCAUGCCACACAAAGUACUCAGCGCCCUCGCAGGCACAGGCACGCGAGGGCACACAGCUUCAUCUUACAACCCUUUACACAUAUACAAGCGAGGGCACCACACUCUACAUCGGCUCCACCUUAGGAAUAAUACCCAUCUCCCUAUAAUUAAAUAACAUUAUCCUAAGCUCCUCACCCGCAAAAAGACUUCGCAGUUCCCCUUCCCCUAUGCUCGCGGCGGCCGGCAAAGACAACAGUUCCUGCCGACCAACCCUACUCACACGAAGCCGAGCCCCCUCCUCCGCGCUAACCCUACGUUUUGCAACCGCCCUUCGUCGGCGGCGCCCGGUGCUAGGGCCUGGCACGUCCGGCGCGUCCGCGGCGUGUGGCGAAGCCUCCGCCGCAGCAACGUCCAAGGCCGCAAAAUAAUCCAAGUCCUCCUCCGACGACUCCUCAGUCCACUCAACCGAGCUCCCAGAGUCAGUAAAAUCAAAAAACUCAGAUACAGACCCACCAUAUUCAUUUCCACCUUCCGCGGUCGAAGCCGCCAAAAACUCAGUAGUAGCGGUUGCGUGCGCAGGCCCAAACUCUCGAACCUGCGCAGCAACCAAAGUUCAGUACAACAUCCAAAAAGUCCCCAACCCUAAACACCCACUACGCCACCUGCGAAGGCCCUGCCGCUGCGGGAGCCUCCGCUGUCGCCUCCGCCGCUGCUUCCGCUACCACCGCCGCGGAAUCUUCAGCGCUCGGCGCAGCAGCUGCGGGGGCGUCAGGCGCGCCUUCGGCCACCUUUGGGGGCAGGCCUUCGCCGGCCACAGCAGAGGUGGGGACGCCCGGCGCGUCUUCCGCAGUCUCCAGGGUUGUUUCCAGGGCGACUCCAGUCGCAGCCUCCGCGAGGGUCAGCUCCGGGUCCGGCAGCGCGCUGUUCAGGGCCCCGAAGUCGUCCACCCGCUCGCCGCGCUCCGCCUAGAACAAGACACACAGAUUCAGCAAACAAACGCACAGCCCGCAUACAGCAAACGCCAAACAAACGACGUUACCUGAGCCCUCGCAGCCUCGGCCCGCUCCCUGACCACCUCACGACCGUACAGACCCCACAUCCGGUCAUAGAGGGCCCCGGCGGAUUCCUUCACCACGGGGUCUUCGACCUUAUAGAUAUCUCGAUCAAAAUCUUCAUCCGCCUGGUCGAAGGCCUCGAAGUGCCGGCACCCUUCGCGGGAGAGCGCGUCCAUCGCCCCCUCGCAGGUGACCAGGGAGGCGUACGACAUCAACCCCCCCAAGACGGCGGGAAGUUCCAGCAGCUCCUCCUGCACCCAUUGCAUACAGCGAAGCCCGGACUCUCGGUCCGGCACUUCGAAGUCACCGGUCCGCGCACCCAGCUCAUGAUAUGUAUCCAUAAGCUGCGUGCGCGUCCGUUCGGCCUCCGCAUGCGUUGCGGCCUCGGCCUCCUUAGCGCGGCUCUCCAGGGCGGUGAGCCGCUCCUGCAGAUGUUCGGCGAGCUCCUUGGCAAGAUUGCCCUCCGCCCGCGCCAGCUUGGCCUCCGCCUGAGCAGCCUGCCCCUUGGCGACGGCCUCGUUAGCUUCCCUCCUCUCCGCCGCCAGUUGGCGCCGGAGGUCAGCCUUCUCCCUCUCCAGGGCGGCCACCCUGUCCGUCAGCUUACGGCACUUGCUGUCGGAGGCCGACUUCUCACGGACAGCGUCAGCAUGUUGUGUCCGAAGUCUCUCGACUUCGGCAGACACAGCUGCCAUGAGGGCCCCCGACGCAGUACGGCUGGCGAAGUCAGCCACCUGCAGAGCCGCGACGCAGUACGUAAGACCGUCGCCCCAAAAGAGGUGGAGGAGAGAGUAUGGCUCAACGGACCUGACUCAGCGCCUCCGUCGCCUGACUCAGCGCCUCCGUCGCCACCUUCAGCCGGCGGGUCGCCGCGCCCGCCUCGUCCCUGACCAGCGCGAGGACCGACACCUCGCCUCCGGUGCCAAGCGCCUCGCCCCCCGCCUUCGGCGCCUUGGCGGCCGUCGCGAUCGCCGCGCCAGGCGCAACUACAGCAAGCUGGCCCUCGUCCGGCCCUGCAACGCAUCCACAAAUUAAAAAAAACAAUAAUAGACCAGCGACUUACCACCAAGAUAGUCAUCCACAGUAAUGUCGGUGCCGAAGUCGGCAACACGUUUGCCCGCCAACGGCAGCGCUCGGGCCGCCUUCGAAGCCUCCGCCACUCCGCUGGCCGGGGGCGCCACCUUCGUUGACUUGGAGCCUCCGGCGCCCGCCGUUGCCUCCGGCGCCUUGCUAGGCGCAGAGGCGCCCGCCUUCACCGCCAGCGGCGGCUUGCCUCUGCCGGAGGCCGCAGCCUUCGCAGUUCCCCGCUGCUUUUUCGGCCGAGCUUCGUGAAUCCUGACAGUCGCCUGGCGUUUUUGCGCCGCCCCUUGGCGAUCCUUGUCUAUCACUGUCCACACAACAGCACCGAUAUUUCGCCCGUAAGGAAAAACUCUCCACCGAUGAACCAUACGAGAUGUAAAACAGUCCUCCUCAGCCGCGCAGGGGAUAGGAACAUUUUUCGGCCAGCAACCCCCGGUAACCCUCAGCAUCCGAGCCGAAGACUCCCGGAGCUCGGGCGAAGACAUCCUUUCCCCCGGGGCCGCGCACGUCCUCAUUAACUCUCUAGCAAAACUAUCAGACACCCCAAGUCCCCCCAUCACAGUACCUAAUUUUCUCUUUUUUGAGGAGGGGGUGGCCGCCAGCGCAGGGUCGCCUCCAGUCUCCACCGCCGGUUUCUUCCCACGGCGGUCCGCUUCGUCUUGACCAGGAUAGCCGUCGUACGGCAAUUGAUUCAAUUCGAAGACCCUGUUCAAGCGCUCAUUUGACCCGCAGAUAUCAAAGCUGCGCUGGCCUUCAGUCCUCGGCACGUAACGUCCCACGAGCCGCACCGCCAAGUCCUCCGCAUCACGCACAAAGGCGGCCGGGUCACGAUUUCGCAAGUUCAGUGCGAAGGCAGGACUUCGCACCACCCGUCCUCCGUGAAAAGGCAUCUGGCGAGGGCACACUUCGCCCAGCGCCCAGCCGUGCGCCAAGGGCCAGACCCCGUACGCCACGAACUCUUCAACUAAAUCACGCCCACUGCUCUGAUCGGUAGCGCAUCGGAGGGCCCCUUCGUCUGCAUCCUCUUCUGCCACUUCAAAAGGCGGAUACGCAGAAUAAUAAUGAGAGCACAUCUCAGACACGGGGAGUCAUUUAUGGCCUUCGACAGUACCCUCCGCAACAUAAAACCAAAACUCAUUCCAAUUGCCCCACUUGUUGCGGGCGCACGGAACCAACUCCACUACUGGCAUUGUGGUCUUGCCGGUCUUCGGCGUGAAUGUGCACGACCCGAACUGGGCAACUCCGUCCCCAACCAUCCUCUUCUGCCAAUGCAAACAAUAAUUCUUCGCAAAAACUUCAACAGACGGCUGCCCGCCAUACGAAGUCGUCGCCCAGACAUACUUCGCCAGCGCCACCAUGGCAUUCGGUGUCAGCUAAUGUAUCUGAACAUUGAAUCUACGCAGGACUUCGCCGACAAACCGGUGCGUAGGCAAGCGGAGACCGGCGGCGAAGAACGCCUCGAAAACGACCAACUCACCCUCCGGCUCGGGGACUUCCUCCGUCCCCGGAGCACGAGCAACUCCGCCGCCAAAGUAGCCCAACCGCUGCAUAUCUUCAACGCGGGCUGACGUCAUCCGUGACGCACCAAAAUCAACAGAGUCGCCGGCGCGCAACUCCUCCACCAUCACGCUACUCAACGUCUCCUCAGACGAGGCGGCGGCCGGCGGCAUGGUGUCGGAGGAAGAAGAAGAGGACGGCAUUGCUACGUACCGUCGGCGGCGGCGGGCGGUUUGCUUCACUCGAGCCAGCACUCCGGCGAGCAAAAGGAGCAGCGGAAGAAGAAGAGCAGCAAGACGGCGGGAGGCUAGGGUUUUUACGGAGCGCGGAAGGCAAAGUUCAAACAGCGCCGACCCCCGCCCCUUUUAUAGGCAGGGCGCGGCUCUUCGGGAAACCCGCAAUCCGACAGGACGCGACGCUUCGGGAAACCCGCAAUCCAACAGUACGCCGUCCAUCAACGGUCACAUCAAAAACCCCCGCGGAACCACUUCGAGCGAGGGCAGCGUCUCCGCCAUCUAGCGACGUCUUCGGCACCAGGUGACUUUGUCGAACUGGUCCCUCGGAGGGCAAAUGUUGGGGCGAAGGCAGAGACGCCACCCUUCGUUCGUCGCCUUUCGCUGCAGUCGCUGGUUUGACGAAGACAAAACGGGCAGGGACACCCUUCGCUUUAUUCAGCACCAGACGAAGGCCUGCGGUGACGUCUCCCCGCGGCACGGCCUCGUCCUGCUCUGAGGCCCACGUGUGAUCUGGCCCAUUGUAACGGGCCCCGCGUGACCGCCGCUGUGUUACGGGCCUAGUUUGUAAAGGCAUUCUUGUAAGUACAGCUUGUAACCCUGCUUUAUGGGAAUAUUCUGGGGAUAAACUAGGUGUCCGAGGGCACAUGCGUCCUUAACACGAGGCGCUGGGCACUCAGAUACCUAUAAAUACCCCCACACAGUGCCCGUGAGAGGCUAGACAUUAACAGAGCUAUAGCCCCCGUGCACGUAACCCUGUUGUCACCACCGUUCUCCCUUGUUGGCUUCCUUGCUGCUGAGAGCAAGUACCAACACAUCCCUGAUUCUAGGAACGGAGCCGUUCUGUUCUGUGUUUGGUAAUCUGUAACGGAGCGGCUCUGUUUUUUGUUUGGUUGCAGAGUGAACGGAACAGAGCGUGACUGUGAGAGCGGGAUGGGAACGGAGCGGCUCCGUCCGCUUGAUUUUUUGGAGCGGAAUGGUUCCGAAUCUGAGGAGAAUAUUCCCUAAUUGGAGCCAUUCCGUUAUAGUUCCUUUAUAACCAAACAACAACAAAACUGGGACAGAACGGUUCCGUUCUACUUGGCUCUUCAACCAAACACUACCUAAGAGAACAGGGGUCAAACUGCAAGUUCUAGGGACUAGGAUUAAAUCUCCCUUAACUGCAUAUGGACUGGGGGUUAAUUCGUAAGAUUUCCAGGGGUUCUUUAGCAACUAUGGCUGGCAGCAGUACGUGCACGCACACAGAGCAGCUAGAUCUUCAUCCUACUGACAUGACUAAACAGAGCGUACAGGUACGACACGAUUUAAUCUCGACCGCUAUGAUUUUAAAGUGGAGGAUUUGGUCACAACCGUUCACAAAGGGAUCUAUGGCUGAGAUUCUAAGGUUAUGUGCUCUAUCCUACACCAUGCAUGACGAUCGGACGGCGGGGAGAUCAUCCCCUCCCCCCCCCCCCCCCCCCCCCCCCCCCCCGAUCAUGCUGGCGGCAGUGGUACCAACAUCCACGACGACGGCGACCGGCCACACCCAUCGGACGCAAUAGCACCCGGAUCUCAAUAAUUCAUGGGUGCAUGGCAAACCUUGAAUCGUAAGGCUCACACCGAUGCUCCCCAAAUCUUGGCUAAUCGCAGUAGCAUGCCCCUCCACGGUGACAGGAAGCACUCGGCGGACGCCUGACUUCGACAAACAAUUAACAACGCCCAGGAACUCUACUCCACGUAAUGCCGAAAGCAAAUGAAAGUGAAGGACGAAGCAAACUCGGGAGAACGCUUACCAGUGCUCGAAGCAAUGGUGCGGCUAUACUCAAGGCUUACGGCGGUGGAGCCCAUCGUUAGGGAUGGUGCCGAGCGCGGCCCGAAUCGGGUGACGCAAGAACUCCGGUGGGGAUCAGGGUUAGCACGUGAGGCGAGCCUCUUUUUAUGGGUUGGUGAGGCGACCAGCUGGAGCCAAGCGCGCA
rnacentral:lncRNA from 1 species